AAAACAGCUUUUAUACACAAGGGCCCUUUUAUACACAAGGGUCCAUGUAAACACAGCUCUGACAACAACACAGCCAGCGGGACUCGAGCUUCUCACUCAUUGUAGACAGUCAAGACUCAGAGACACAUUAACACAGGAUAGACUGGAUUUCUGAUAUAUUUAUGUGUAACAUGUUGCACAUUCUUCCUUUAAAAGGAUUUUGGUCCUCCGUUGAAAGCCCGUUGAAUCACGCCUUAGCACCAGUCCAUUACAGAACCGACAUGUUUGUACCAUCACCCUGAUACUCCGAAUUACCUCGAUUCAUCCAAAGCAUAUAGAAAACAAAUGUUUUAUUUUGCUUUUAACCAACAGACUAUUAGUUUGAGAUCAUAUUUGUAUAUUUUUGUAAUUUCACGUAAAGCCUACUGCCAUUUCAAAACCUGAAAUGUGAAAUUCUAUAUGCAAGAACCAUGAAAUGUUUCUUUUGAUGUGAUUAUGGGGUAGAAUUGGGAAUGUAGCCUUCCGCUCUGAAGACAUGAGAGCGUCCCUUGCCUUAGUCGGUGUUUCCUACAGGAAAUGUUGCUCAAACACACCUCAUGUUAAAGUGCUACAUCCAAUUUGCCAGAUUUAUAGUCACAUUUUUCAAAGACAUUUUAAUGGUUCCCUGACUUUUUUUUAAAAACUAUAAUUAAAUCAAAUGUGAUAAUGUGUACUUUAUUUAUGAUCGAGUAGUAUUGAAUCCUUCGUCUUCAUACCUGAAAUUACUUGAAGUGUGUGCCUGUAAUGUUACCUCAAUGACAAACAAUUCAACCCCCUUUAUAAUGUAAGGGAACAUCUUAAGUGCUGAUAUAUUAUUGCUGUCAAAGAUGUUGUUAUGAACCCCCACUGAGUGGAGCACUGUGAUAUUAUUGAACACCAACAUACUGAAUAAAGCACAAUGGUGGCAGCACUCGAUAGUCUUGCUAUUAAAGGUCACAUAUGAAAAAUACCCUUAACCAGGUUUUUCUAACACUAAUAUGUGUCUCUAGUCUGUCUAUAAAUAAUACGAAUGAUAAGAAAAAUCCAUCCUCUCUGUCU